rnacentral:rRNA from 1 species
AGUGAACGCUGGCGGCAGGCCUAACACAUGCAAGUCGAGCGGCAGCGCGGGGGCAACCCUGGCGGCGAGCGGCGGACGGGUGAGGAAUUCGUCGGAAUCUGCCUUUUUGUGGGGGAUAACGUAGGGAAACUUACGCUAAUACCGCAUACGUCCUACGGGAGAAAGUGGGGGACCGCAAGGCCUCACGCAGAAAGAUGAGCCGACGACCGAUUAGCUAGUUGGUGGGGUAAAGGCCCACCAAGGCGACGAUCGGUAGCUGGUCUGAGAGGAUGAUCAGCCACACUGGGGCUGAGACACGGCCCAGACUCCUACGGGAGGCAGCAGUGGGGAAUAUUGGACAAUGGGCGCAAGCCUGAUCCAGCCAUGCCGCGUGUGUGAAGAAGGCCUUCGGGUUGUAAAGCACUUUUGUCCGGAAAGAAAUCCCUGGAGCUAAUACCUUCGGGGGAUGACGGUACCGGAAGAAUAAGCACCGGCUAACUUCGUG